rnacentral:miRNA from 1 species
CAGGAUGCCAGCAUAGU